rnacentral:tRNA from 1 species
GAGGGUAUAGCUCAGUGGUAGAGCACGUGCUUAAUAGCAUGCAUUAGGUCCUGGGUUCAAUCCCCAGUACCGCCA